ACAAAAAGAGGAAAUGGUGUUCUUCCUCACCCAACCGCUUCUGAGGAGCUGAUGACGCCUGAUUAAAU
rnacentral:ncRNA from 2 species